CAGCCGCCUCUCAGGCAGCUGACUGAAAUUAGUAACAACCAGUGUGCAGCAGUUCAUGGCAGAAACAUCACACUCAGCUGGAACACUGAGAACUAGAGAACAGCGUGUGGGACUAAAUUCUCCCACAAUCCAUAAUUUAUCCACUUCAUGAAGGCAAGUCCCCUGAAUGCUGAAACCUUCAGACUAUUCACAGACCACAUGAAAACAGAAACUGAAGACUACCUGA